UGGGGAAUUUUGGACAAUGGGCGAAAGCCUGAUCCAGCCAUGCCGCGUGAGUGAAGAAGGCCUUCGGGUUGUAAAGCUCUUUCAUCCGGAAAGAAAUCGCGCAGGAUAAUACUCUGCGUGGAUGACGGUACCGGAAGAAGAAGCACCGGCUAACUACGUGCCAGCAGCCGUGGUAAUACGUAGGGUGCGAGCGUUAAUCGGAAUUACUGGGCGUAAAGCGUGCGCAGGCGGUUAUGUAAGACAGGUGUGAAAUCCCCGGGCUCAACCUGGGAGCUGCGUUUGUGACUGCAUAGCUAGAGUACGGCAGAGGGAGGUGGAAUUCCGCGUGUAGCAGUGAAAUGCGUAGAGAUGCGGAGGAACACCGAUGGCGAAGGCAGCCUCCUGGGCCAGUACUGACGCUCAUGCACGAAAGCGUGGGGAGCAAACA
rnacentral:rRNA from 1 species